CAAUAGCGUAUAUUAAAGUUGUUGCAGUUAAAAAGCUCGUAGUUGGAUUUCUGGUCGGAAGCUCCUGUCCUCUGAUGAGCGUACAAGUGCGUCCUACCAUCCUUCUGUUAACCUUUAAGGCUUUCGCGGCUUUCUAGGGGCUCAGAUAUUUUACCUUGAGAAAAUUAGAGUGUUUCAGGCAGGCUAGCGCCGGAAUACAUUAGCAUGGAAUAAUGGAAUAGGACUUUUGCCUCUUCUGUUGGUCAUGAGGCUCGAGUAAUGAUUAAUAGGGAUAGUUGGGGGCGUUAGUACUUAACUGUCAGAGGUGAAAUUCUCGGAUUUGUUAAAGACUAACUUAUGCGAAAGCAUUUGCCAAGGAUGUUUUCAUUAA
rnacentral:rRNA from 1 species